rnacentral:misc_RNA from 1 species
UAGCCACUUGUUGAUUUUCUAUCGUCUAGAUUGGAUUCCCAAUUUGCAUCACUAUAAGCAUGAAUAUCAAGAUUAAAAGAAGAAGUAAGGAGCAGCCCAUACCGUUGUGUGCCCUUCAAAUAACGUAAAAUAUGUUUUACUGCAACCGAAUGCUGCCUUUUGGGAGAAUGAACAUAUUGAGAAGCUUUACGAACCGAGAAGGCAAUGUCGGGUCUGGUGAUAUUCAAAUAUUGCAAAGCACCAACUAUGGUGCGGUAGAGAGUGAUAUCAAGUGUAGAUUCAACACUAGUUGCUUGUAAUUUCUCAUUCGGUGUGGCUGGCGUAGACAAGCUUUUGCAUGUGGUCAUAUUGGCUUUGUGUAACAAAUCCUCAAUGUACUUUGUCUGUGUAAGUAAUAAACCCAUUUUUGUAUGAUGAGCUUCAAUACCCAAGAAAUAAUCUAAUUGACCCAAAUCUUUUAAUUGAAACUCUAGUUGCAGAGAUGCAACAAGGUGCUGUAAAUGAGUAUUAUCACUCCUAGUUAGGAUGAUAUCAUCCACAUAAAUAAGACAGAAAGCUUGUGUCCCACCAUUCGUAUAAGGAAAUAAGGAUGUAUCUACAGUAGAUGACUUAAAACCAUUUUUAAGAAGCGCAUUAGACAAGCACUUGUACCAUUGACGUGGAGCUUGACGAAGGCCAUACAGAGAAUGAUGUAACCGACAUACAUGAUUCGGUUUAUCGGGAUCAGUAAAACCAGGAGGUUGAUUCAUAAAGACCAAGUCAUCAAGUUUGCCAUGUAAGAAAGCAUUUGAAACAUCUUAUUAUUUGAUAUUCCACCCCUGUGUAACUGCAUAUGACAAA